GGAGGCUGCUGCUCGCCCGCUCGCCCGCUCGCCCGCCCGCCGCUCCGCGCUUCUCCCUCCGCCUCCCCGGCCCCGCGCACCUACGAGCUCCGGGCCGCGGGCCGAGCUGCCCCGGGCGCUGUCCGGGCCUGCAGAGGGGAUGCCGGCGGGGACCUCGGGCUCGCGCCGGCGUUGCGCAGCAAAGAAAGGCGAGGCGCGGCGUCGGGGCUGCGCGCCCUGGAGCUCCGGGACGCGGCACUUGGGAACCCCCGCGGCGAGCUCCCGCCAUCUCCGCGCGGCCGGAGCGCGCAGCCCGGGGCUGGCCUCGGGUGGAAAGUGCGGGGAAUGGGGCGAGGGGCUCCGGACCCCCCACCGUGGAUUACUUGGUGUGCAUCAGCCGGGCUCAGACGACCCCCACCCCCGCGACCUCGUCUGCGUCCUGGGCUUGCUUCCUUCCACCUGGCAGUCGGGGCGCAUACCUGGCAGGUGCACCUCGGAAGCGACAAGAGCCACCGCGCUCUGGUGGGUCACUGGGCUCUCCCCCUAGCAAAAGGCAGACACACCUUAAAAGCUGGGAUCGCCCUGUCUGAUUUUUCUGGGCUCUCCUCUGUGUUCGGCAUAGAGUCUACGAGUGCAGACCAAACGAACACGCCAAAUGAACACAUGGUAAAUGGAGAUUCAUGUGUAAGGGAUUUUUUUUUCCCCUUUUUUCAUUUUGAAAAGGCAGCCUGGAUCCCACAAUGGGAGUGGCGUUGGCUCUGCCCGCAGACCUGGGUCGUGUCAGACGGGCUCCUCAAACCAGGGCUUUUUCAAUUGCGUUACAACAACGGAUGCUUCAUGAGGAUUUGCUGAUAUUCUUGGACGUGGGACCUAGACUUCUCUUCCUGCCGAGCCGCAGGCUAUUGGGCUCACCCGGCUGAGUCUCGUCUCUUCUGAGUAGCGACGAUUGUAAAUAAUCGCAGUGAAAUGCCUACAGGCGAUUAGCCUGUGCACAGGCUACAGUCCCAG
rnacentral:lncRNA from 1 species